rnacentral:lncRNA from 1 species
CCCAGUGACUGAGAAUGAGACAGAAGAUGAGGGCGUUUGAGGAUGAGAAGGAAGAGGAAAGUCAUCAGAGCCACCUGGAAGUAGAGGUCUGGUCAGGUUGGCCUGCUUAACCAAGAUGGCAGCCAGGGGAGUAGGAAGGAUGAAGACAUUGCACACAUUUGGAGGAAGAAACCAAAGCUGGCAUGAGAGGAGUCCUUUCCAGGGCUGUUCAAGGCAACAGGAUGCAGACUCCUCCCAAUGGGUAAACAUUGGAAGACACCAGGAGGGAAGCCAAGCCUCUAGAGAUUGCUCAGGAACCCAAACCACCCCAAAUGGAGCCGGAAGGUCUGUCAAUUCCCAGAGAGGGAGGAAAUGGUAGACCAGGACCCUGCUGUACUUGACUGGACUCCAGGCUCAGAGUUCCAAUUUGCCCACGGCAGAACUUGGCUGCAGGCUUC